rnacentral:rRNA from 1 species
UACGAGGGGGGCAAGCGUUGUUCGGAAUUAUUGGGCGUAAAGGGCGCGUAGGCGGUGCGGUAAGUCACCUGUGAAAACUCUGGGCUCAACUCAGAGCCUGCAGGCGAAACUGCCGUGCUUGAGUGUGGGAGAGGUGCGUGGAAUUCCCGGUGUAGCGGUGAAAUGCGUAGAUAUCGGGAGGAACAUCUGUGGCGAAAGCGGCGCACUGGACCACAACUGACGCUGAGGCGCGAAAGCUAGGGGAGCAAACAGG